rnacentral:tRNA from 1 species
GCUUGGGUGGCUCAGUCGGUUGGGUGUCUGACUUCGGCUCAGGUCAUGAUCUCGGGGUUCGUGGGUUCAAGCCCCGCAUUGGGCU